UAUCUGACACCUGUGCAACAUUAACAGUUUUAUAAACAAAGAUAUUCACACAAAAGAGAGGAUUGCUAACGAUAAAACUUAGUAUAAAGCUGAGUAUCCUGGAUUGUUAUUUUCAUAGUACGAGAGCAAUGAGUCCUGCAACGUGGAUUGUUUCUUUCAUCGGCCUUGUUAUAUUUAAUAUUACAGAAUAAGGUCAUGUGUGCAGUUAUGGUGGCGGAUAUUUAGGUGGAUUACGCCAGGCUCCAGCAGCGUUACCUGUCAGAGUUACCAGCAGAACAGCUGCUGUUCUAGCUCCAAUGCUGCGACUGACAACAUUCCCUCCUCACCCGCACUUGAUGGAAUGAGACGGAGACUUAGAAAAAACUCUACUGAUACAAUUGAUUGCUAGAAAAGAGGCCAGACUAGUGACAUGAAAUUAUAGUUAUGUCAGAUACUUGUAAAUUUAAAAUAAAGUUGUAUUUGUCGUAAAUAAAAGUUAAUAUUUAAGUCAAAACAUGUUGUUCAUUCGACUGUAUUAAUAUUCAUUUAUUUAUAAUUUGUAAUAACAAAUUAUUUUUAUAAUAAAACGGAAAAUUUCGUCUUUUUCUCAAAAUACAUUUAUUUAAGAAAUAACUACUUACUAUUUACUUAGUGAUAUUAUAAAAUAAAUAUAAAUAUUCUUAUUAUAUUUGACACGAUUAAAGUAUUUGAUAGUCA